AGCGAACGCUGGCGGCAGGCCUAACACAUGCAAGUCGAACGAACCUUUCGGGGUUAGUGGCGGACGGGUGAGUAACACGUGGGAACGUGCCUUUAGGUUCGGAAUAACUCAGGGAAACUUGUGCUAAUACCGAAUGUGCCCUUCGGGGGAAAGAUUUAUCGCCUUUAGAGCGGCCCGCGUCUGAUUAGCUAGUUGGUUGAGGUAAUGGCUCACCAAGGCGACGAUCAGUAGCUGGUCUGAGAGGAUGAUCAGCCACAUUGGGACUGAGACACGGCCCAAACUCCUACGGGAGGCAGCAGUGGGGAAUCUUGCGCAAUGGGCGAAAGCCUGACGCAGCCAUGCCGCGUGAAUGAUGAAGGUCUUAGGAUUGUAAAAUUCUUUCACCGGGGACGAUAAUGACGGUACCCGGAGAAGAAGCCCCGGCUAACUUUGUG
rnacentral:rRNA from 1 species